UCUAAAAUAAUUAUUUGACUCUAAUAUUUUAUUUCAACAACAGGUGGAGCAAACAAGAACAUUGGCUUGGAUAGUUCAUGAAUUCGACGCCUGGCGAAAUUCUUGCCGUACCUAAGAAGUGAAAACGAUGAACACCAGCUCGGGUGUAAAAGAAGAUAUUAAAGAAUAAGAAUAUAAGAACAAGAAUCGAAAGACAGUCAAUCACAGUAUUGCAACGAUAUUGCCAUCCCGUUCAUUCUCUUUGUAAAAAACUGAGAUGGCAAACAUGUUCUUUUCUAUGUGUUACUGUGGAUUUGAACUGCAGUGACAUUAACAUUGAUACAUAUUGUUGUUUCUGUUUUUUUCAAAAAGAAUGUAAGGAAUGCCAAUAUUUGUCUGCAGUCGAAAUCCAUCGACGAAAAUCAUACGACAGU